GUUCCCCACAAACCCACCCAAUGCUUACAUGCACAGCUUGUGACCAUGCACUUUCAUGAAGUCAAACUUGCCCAGACCACAAAACAGACUAGCACUGCUUAGCAACCUUCAGAUAAUUUAUACUCCGACCCCUGGAAGUGAUGUGAGGAUGAAACAAAGAGCACGGACCUCAAAGGCUGUGGAUCCUAGCACUUGCACGUUACCUAAAGGGAGGGAGGGUCUCCAAGAGGCGUGAGGCACCAACCUUCACAGUGAGACAACCUUCACGUCAUAACCCACCCUCCGAGAGAGCAAGGGCGGUGAGUCGGGAAGCAAACUGCAGUGAACUGACCUGGAACUUAACAGUGGGCGCCAAACCCACACUUAGCCUGCAUCGGACGCAUAAGGAUUUGGCAAGCCCUCAAAUUUCUCUGGACAUCAGUUCCUGGGUAGGUGAGUGCUGUCUCCCCGGGGACGGGUGUGAGCUGAGAAGGUAAUGCUUUUGUGGGUGCUUGUCUCUUGCCAGGUAUCCCAAGAAAACUCUUAUUUAUGUAUUUGUUUGUUUUUAAGAAAUGU
ensembl:lncRNA